rnacentral:rRNA from 1 species
UACGUAGGUGACCAGCGUUGUCCGGAUUUACUGGGCGUAAAGAGCGCGCAGGCGGUCGUUCAAGUCGAGUGUGAAAGCCCCCGGCUCAACUGGGGAGGGUCAUUCGAUACUGAUCGACUGGAAGGCAGGAGAGGGAAGCGGAAUUCCCGGUGUAGUGGUGAAAUGCGUAGAUAUCGUAAGGAAGACCAGUGGCGAAGGCGGGUCUCUGGGCAGAUACUGACGCUGAGGAGCGAAAGCGUGGGGAGCGAACAGG